rnacentral:lncRNA from 1 species
UCACCAUGUGUAUGCACUCGUUGUCCCACCCGGAAUUCAUGUUUUGACUCAGCGGAAUUCUGCAUCUUCUGUUAAAGUUGGCCAAGAAUUCCUCUUAAUAAAAACAUGUGAAGUUUUAAUUCCAAUUUCAACUUAAAAAAACACAAAAUAUAAGCCACUCGAAUAAAUUAGUAAAGAACCUAUAGUAGACUUAGUGAGAAUAUGGCAGUAGCUUCUACUAACAUG